UGUUUAUGUGCUAAUUGAUGGCC
rnacentral:siRNA from 1 species